rnacentral:rRNA from 1 species
UGCAGUCGAGCGAGAAGUCCCCUCGGGGGCGAGUACAGCGGCGCACGGGUGAGUAACACGUGGGUCAUCUACCUUCCGGCGGGGGACAACACCUCGAAAGGGGUGCUAAUACCGCAUACGUCCACUUCGGUGGGGAAAGGCGGCUUCGGCUGUCACCGGAAGAUGAGCCCGCGGCCCAUCAGCUUGUUGGUAGGGUAACGGCCUACCAAGGCUACGACGGGUAGCUGGUCUGAGAGGAUGAUCAGCCACACUGGAACUGAGACACGGUCCAGACUCCUACGGGAGGCAGCAGUGGGGAAUAUUGCGCAAUGGGCGAAAGCCUGACGCAGCGACGCCGCGUGGGUGAUGAAGGCCUUCGGGUCGUAAAGCCCUGUGGGAGAGGGAAGAACAACCGGGAGGAAUAAUACCCUCCCGGCCUGACGGUACCUCUCCAGAAAGCACCGGCUAACUCCGUGCCAGCAGCCGCGGUAAUACGGAGGGUGCAAACGUUGUUCGGAAUCACUGGGCGUAAAGCGCGUGCAGGCGGCGCGUCAAGUCAGGCGUGAAAGCCCCCGGCUCAACCGGGGAAGUGCGCUUGAAACUGGCGUGCCAGAGUACGGGAGAGGGUAGUGGAAUUCCCGGUGUAGAGGUGAAAUUCGUAGAUAUCGGGAGGAACAUCGGUGGCGAAGGCGGCUACCUGGACCGAUACUGACGCUGAGACGCGAAAGCGUGGGGAGCAAACAGGAUUAGAUACCCUGGUAGUCCACGCUGUAAACGAUGAACACUAGGUGCUGCGGGUAUCGACCCCUGCGGUGCCGUAGCUAACGCGUUAAGUGUUCCGCCUGGGGAGUACGGCCGCAAGGCUAAAACUCAAAAGGAAUUGACGGGGGGCCCGCACAAGCCGGUGGAGCAUGGUGGUUUAAUUCGAAGCAACGCGAAAGAACCUUACCAUCCCUUUGACAUCCAGAAGAAUUAUCUUAGAG